rnacentral:rRNA from 1 species
CCCAAUCCCGACACGGGGAGGUAGUGACAAGAAAUACCGAUACAGGGCCUUUUAUGGUCUUGUGAUUGGAAUGAGUACAAUUUAAAUCCAUUAACGAGGAGCAAGCACAGGGCAAGUCUGGUGCCAGCAGCCGCGGUAAUUCCAGCUGUGCGAGCAUACAUUAAAGUUGUUGCAGUUAAAACGCCCGUAGUUGAAACUCGGGCCUGGCCCGCCGGUCCGCCUCACCGCGUGCACUGGUUCGGCCGGGUCUUUCUCCCUGGAAAUCCGCAUGCCCUUUGCUGGGCGUGCCGGGGGACCAGGACUGUUACUGUGAAAAAAUCAGAGUGUUCAAAGCAGGCCUUUGCUCGAAUGCCUUAGCAUGGAAUAACGGAAUAUGACGACAGUGGUCGUGUUUCGUUGGUUUUUACGACCGUCGUAAUGAUUAAUAGGGAUGGUCGGGGGCAUCGGUAUUC